UUGAAUAUCUAAGGUUUCCAGAGUAAAGCUGAUCUGCUCUGGGUAAGUCGGGGCCUAAGGCGAGGUCGAAAGACGUAGUCGAUGGAUAACAGGUUGAAAUUCCUGUACUAUCCUGUAACAGAACUGUGGGGACACAGGCAGAGAGCGUGAGCCGGGAAUGGAAAGACCGGUACAAGCGAGGUAGGAGAAGAGUUGGCAAAUCCGCUCUUUAAUCUGAAGACGUGAUGUGGACUGAAAAUAAGUAGGGAAGCACGUGAGCUGACUGUCAAGAAAAGCCGCUAUUGUUUGCAGGAUACCCGUACCGUAAACCGACACAGGUGGAUGAGGAGAGAAUCCUAAGGCCGACGGGAGAAGCAUUGUUAAGGAACUCGGCAAAAUGACUCCGUAACUUCGGGAGAAGGAGUGCCAGUAAGAUGGCCGCAGAGAAUUGGCCCAAGCAACUGUUUAGCAAAAACACAGGUCUAUGCAAAACCGAAAGGUGAGGUAUAUGGGCUGACGCCUGCCCGGUGCUGGAAGGUUAAGGGGAGAGGUUAGCGCAAGCGAAGCUUUGAACUUAAGCCCCAGUAAACGGCGGCCGUAACGAUAACGGUCCUAAGGUAGCGAAAUUCCUUGUCGGGUAAGUUCCGACCCGCACGAAAGGCGUAAUGAUUUGGGCACUGUCUCAACAAUGCACCCGGUGAAAUUGAAAUACCAGUGAAGAUGCUGGUUACCUGCGCCAGGACGGAAAGACCCCAUGGAGCUUUACUCCAGCUUGAUACUGGGAUUCGGUAUUGCAUGUACAGGAUAGGUGGGAGGCUAGGAAAUGGUAACGCCAGUUGCCUGGAGCCAAUGUUGGGAUACCACCCUUGCAGUACUGGGUUUCUAACCAGCAGCCGUGAUCCGGCUGGGGGACAAUGUCAGGUGGGGAGUUUGACUGGGGCGGUCGCCUCCGAAAGGGUAUCGGAGGCGCUCAAAGGUUCCCUCAGAAUGGUUGGAAACCACUCGAAGAGUGCAAAGGCAGAAGGGAGCUUGACUGCGACACCGACGGGUGGAGCAGGUACGAAAGUAGGACUUAGUGAUCCGGUGGUAUAAAGUGGGAUUGCCAUCGCUCAACGGAUAAAAGCUACCCUUGGGAUAACAGGCUUAUCACUCCCAAGAGUUCACAUCGACGGAGUGGUUUGGCACCUCGAUGUCGGCUCAUCGCAUCCUGGGGCUGAAGUAGGUCCCAAGGGUUGGGCUGUUCGCCCAUUAAAGCGGUACGCGAGCUGGGUUCAGAACGUCGUGAGACAGUUCGGUCCCUAUCCGGCGUGGGCGUAAGAUAUUUGAGAGGAGCUGUCCUUAGUACGAGAGGACCGGGAUGGACUGGCCGCUGGUGUAUCUGUUGUCUUACCAAAGGCAUAGCAGAGUAGCCAAGCCGGGAAGGGAUAAACGCUGAAGGCAUCUAAGCGUGAAGCCCCCCUCAAGAUGAGAUAUCUCAUAACGUCAAGUUAGUAAGACCCCUUGAAGACGACGAGGUAGAUAGGGCAGAGGUGGAAGUGUGGUAACACAUGGAGCUGACUGUUACUAAUAGGUCGAGGGCAUAACC
rnacentral:rRNA from 1 species